AGCUUGCUGCUUUGUUGACGAGUGGCGGACGGGUGAGUAAUGUCUGGGAAACUGCCUGAUGGAGGGGGAUAACUACUGGAAACGGUGGCUAAUACCGCAUAACGUCGCAAGACCAAAGAGGGGGACCUUCGGGCCUCUUGCCAUCAGAUGUGCCCAGAUGGGAUUAGCUUGUUGGUGAGGUAACGGCUCACCAAGGCGACGAUCCCUAGCUGGUCUGAGAGGAUGACCAGCCACACUGGAACUGAGACACGGUCCAGACUCCUACGGGAGGCAGCAGUGGGGAAUAUUGCACAAUGGGCGCAAGCCUGAUGCAGCCAUGCCGCGUGUAUGAAGAAGGCCUUCGGGUUGUAAAGUACUUUCAGCGGGGAGGAAGGUGUUGUGGUUA
rnacentral:rRNA from 1 species